rnacentral:rRNA from 1 species
CUACGUGCCAGCAGCCGCGGUAAUACGUAGGUGGCAAGCGUUGUCCGGAAUUAUUGGGCGUAAAGCGCGCGCAGGCGGAUUGGUCAGUCUGUCUUAAAAGUUCGGGGCUUAACCCCGUGAUGGGAUGGAAACUGCCAAUCUAGAGUAUCGGAGAGGAAAGUGGAAUUCCUAGUGUAGCGGUGAAAUGCGUAGAUAUUAGGAAGAACACCAGUGGCGAAGGSGACUUUCUGGACGAAAACUGACGCUGAGGCGCGAAAGCCAGGGGAGCGAACGGGAUUAGAUACCCCGGUAGUCCUGGCCGUAAACGAUGGGUACUAGGUGUAGGAGGUAUCGACCCCUUCUGUGCCGGAGUUAACGCAAUAAGUACCCCGCCUGGGGAGUACGACCGCAAGGUUGAAACUCAAAGGAAUUGACGGGGGCCCGCACAAGCGGUGGAGUAUGUGGUUUAAUUCGACGCAACGCGAAGAACCUUACCAGGUCUUGACAU